UCGUACAAAAUGUGAGAGAGGCAUGCAAGGGCUGUCGCUGACUCCAAGUCGUGCACGCCGGAGUGUGCCCUCUCACAUAAUAAUCCAUCUCACCCUUUGUGCACCACCGCGUGGGCACCCUUUGGGAUCAGACUGAUCUCGGAGGAUGCUCGCGUUUUCACACAAACCCCCCUUUUAAAAGUGUAGAGUGACCUCAUUUAUGCGCUAACCCGCAAUCAAUAC
rnacentral:misc_RNA from 1 species